AGAGUUUGAUCCUGGCUCAGGAUGAACGCUGGCGGCGUGCCUAACACAUGCAAGUCGAACGGGUGUACAGAAGGGAAGAUUACGGUCGGAAGAUCUGUGCAUGAGUGGCGGACGGGUGAGUAACGCGUGGGCAACCUGGCCUGUACAGGGGGAUAACACUUAGAAAUAGGUGCUAAUACCGCAUAACGGGGGAAGCCGCAUGGCUUUUUCCUGAAAACUCCGGUGGUACAGGAUGGGCCCGCGUCUGAUUAGCCAGUUGGCAGGGUAACGGCCUACCAAAGCGACGAUCAGUAGCCGGCCUGAGAGGGCGGACGGCCACACUGGGACUGAGACACGGCCCAGACUCCUACGGGAGGCAGCAGUGGGGGAUAUUGCACAAUGGGGGAAACCCUGAUGCAGCGACGCCGCGUGGGUGAAGAAGCGCCUCGGCGCGUAAAGCCCUGUCAGCAGGGAAGAAAAUGACGGUACCUGAAGAAGAAGCCCCGGCUAACUACGUG
rnacentral:rRNA from 1 species